UACGGGGGGGGCAAGCGUUGUGCGGAAUUACUGGGCGUAAAGGGCUCGUAGGUGGCCAACUAAGUCAGACGUGAAAUCCCUCAGCUUAACUGGGGAACUGCGUCUGAUACUGGAUGGCUUGAGUUUGGGAGAGGGACGCGGAAUUCCAGGUGUAGCGGUGAAAUGCGUAGAUAUCUGGAGGAACACCGGUGGCGAAGGCGGCAUCCUGGACCAAUAUUGACGCUGAGGAGCGAAAGCCAGGGGAGCAAACGGG
rnacentral:rRNA from 1 species